rnacentral:rRNA from 1 species
CCUACGGGUGGCAGCAGUGAGGAAUAUUGGUCAAUGGACGAGAGUCUGAACCAGCCAAGUAGCGUGAAGGAUGACUGCCCUAUGGGUUGUAAACUUCUUUUAUAUGGGAAUAAAACGUUCCACGUGUGGGAUUUUGUAUGUACCAUAUGAAUAAGGAUCGGCUAACUCCGUGCCAGCAGCCGCGGUAAUACGGAGGAUCCGAGCGUUAUCCGGAUUUAUUGGGUUUAAAGGGAGCGUAGGUGGAUUGUUAAGUCAGUUGUGAAAGUUUGCGGCUCAACCGUAAAAGUGCAGUUGAAACUGGCAGUCUUGAGUACAGUAGAGGUGGGCGGAAUUCGUGGUGUAGCGGUGAAAUGCUUAGAGAUCACGAAGAACUCCGAUUGCGAAGGCAGUUCACUGGACUGCAACUGACACUGAGGCUCGAAAGUGUGGGUAUCAAACAGGAUUAGAUACCCCUGUAGUC